rnacentral:rRNA from 1 species
ACGGGAUCACAUGGUUCUGGGGUAAAAGAUUUAUCGGUUUGGGGUGGGCUCGCGUCCGAUUAGGUAGUUGGUGAGGUAGCGGCCCACCAAGCCGACGAUCGGUAGCCGACCUGAGAGGGUGAUCGGCCACGUUGGGACUGAGACACGGCCCAAACUCCUACGGGAGGCAGCAGUGGGAAUAUUGGGCAAUGGAGGAAACUCUGACCCAGCAACGCCGCGUGGAGGAAGAAGGUUUUCGGAUCGUAAACUCCUGUCCUUGGAGACGAGUAGAAGACGGUAUCCAAGGAGGAAGCCCCGGCUAACUACGUGCCAGCAGCCGCGGUAAUACGUGGGGGGCAAGCGUUGUCCGGAAUAAUUGGGCGUAAAGGGCGCGUAGGCGGCUCGGUAAGUCUGGAGUGAAAGUCCUGCUUUUAAGGUGGGAAUUGCUUUGGAUACUGUCGGGCUUGAGUGCAGGAGAGGUUAGUGGAAUUCCCAGUGUAGCGGUGAAAUGCGUAGAGAUUGGGAGGAACACCAGUGGCGAAGGCGACUAACUGGACUGUAACUGACGCUGAGGCGCGAAAGUGUGGGGAGCAAACAGGAUUAGAUACCCUGGUAGUCCACACUGUAAACGAUGAAUGCUAGGUGUAGGGGGUAUCGACCCCUUCUGUGGCGCAGUCAACACAAUAAGCAUUCCGCCUGGGGAGUACGGCCGCAAGGUUGAAACUCAAAGGAAUUGACGGGGGCCCGCACAAGCAGCGGAGCAUGUGGUUUAAUUCGACGCAACGCGAAGAACCUUACCAGGUCUUGACAUCCACUUAAACUUACAGAGAUGUAAGGUGUGCUUGCACAAAGUGAGACAGGUGGUGCAUGGUUGUCGUCAGCUCGUGUCGUGAGAUGUUGGGUUAAGUCCCGCAACGAGCGCAACCCUUAUCUUCAGUUACUAACGCGUGAGGGUGAGGACUCUGAAGAGACUGCCGGGGACAACUCGGAGGAAGGUGGGACGACGUCAAAUCAUCAUGCCCCUUAUGACCUGGGCUACACACGUGCUACAAUGGCCACGACAGAGAGAAGCGAAAUCGCAAGGUAGAGCGGAACUCAAAAAAGUGGUCCCAGUUCGGAUUGUGGGCUGCAACCCGCCCACAUGAAGUCGGAGUUGCUAGUAAUCGCGGAUCAGCAUGCCGCGGUGAAUACGUUCCCGGGCCUUGUACACACCGCCCGUCACACCAUGGGAGUUGGGAGUGCCCAAAGCCGGUGAGGCAACCGCAAGGAGCCAGCCGUCUAAGGCAAGACCAAUGACUGGGGUGAAGUCGGAACAAGGUA